AAGCUGGGGAUCGUAAGACCUGGCGCUUUGAGAUGAGCCUGCGGCCUAUCAGCUAGUUGGUGAGGUAACGGCUCACCAAGGCAAAGACGGGUAGCUGGUCUGAGAGGACGACCAGCCACACUGGAACUGAGACACGGUCCAGACACCUACGGGUGGCAGCAGUCGAGAAUUUUUCUCAAUGGGCGAAAGCCUGAAGGAGCGACGCCGCGUGGGGGAUGAAGGGCUUCGGCUCGUAAACCCCUGUCAUUUGUGAACAAUGGAUAGUAGUUAACAGCUAUUGUCUUGAUAGUAGCAGAAGAGGAAGGGACGGCUAACUCUGUGCCAGCAGCCGCGGUAAUACAGAGGUCCCAAGCGUUGUUCGGAUUCACUGGGCGUAAAGGGUGCGUAGGCGGCAUGAUAAGUUUGUUGUGAAAUCUCCAAGCUUAACUUGGAAAAUGCAAUGAAUACUGUCGUGCUAGAGUUUUGUAGGGGGGACUGGAAUUCUCGGUGUAGCAGUGAAAUGCGUAGAUAUCGAGAGGAACACCAGUGGCGAAGGCGAGUCCCUGGACAAAUACUGACGCUGAGGCACGAAAGCUAGGGGAGCAAACAGGAUUAGAUACCCUGGUAGUCCUAGCUGUAAACGGUGCGCAUUUGCUGUAAGAGGAAUCGACCCCUCUUGUGGCGUAGCUAACGCGUUAAAUGCGCCGCCUGGGAAGUACGGUCGCAAGAUU
rnacentral:rRNA from 1 species